rnacentral:rRNA from 1 species
CUGGUUGAUCCUGCCGGACCCCACUGCUAUCGGAAUGGGACUAAGACAUGCUAGUCGUGCGCCUCCAAGCCAUGGUAGAGGCGCGGCGCACAGCUCAAUAACACGUGGCUAACCUGCCCUUGGGACGGGGGCACCCCCGGGAAACUGGGGCUAAUUUCCGAUAGGUGAAGACCCCUGGAAUGGAUCUUCGCCUAAAGGGCGCUUAGACCAUGCUUCUAGGCGCUGCCCAAGGAUGGGGCCGCGGCCGAUCAGGUUGUUGGUGAGGUAACGGCUCACCAAGCCUUUAACCGGUACGGGCCGUGGGAGCGGGAGCCCGGAGAUGGGCACUGAGACAAGGGCCCAGGCCCUACGGGGCGCAGCAGUCGCGAAAACUCCGCAAUACGCGAAGGCGUGACGGGGUCAUUCCGAGUGCCGUCCGCUGAGGAUGGCUUUUCCCCAUUGUAGAUAGCUGGGGGAAUAAGGAGAGGGCAAGUCUGGUGUCAGCCGCCGCGGUAAUACCAGCUCUUCGAGUGGUGGGGAUGUUUAUUGGGCCUGAAGCAUUCGUAGCCAGCUGAGCAAGUCCCCUGUUAAAUCCAGCGAUUUAAUCGUUGGACUGCAGGGGAUACUGUUCGGCUAGGGGGUGGGAGAGGCCGACGGUAUUCCUGGGGUAGGGGUGAAAUCCUAUAAUCCCGGGAGGACCACCAGUGGCGAAGGCUGUCGGCUAGAACAUGCCCGACGGUGAGGGAUGAAAGCUGGGGGAGCGAACCGGAUUAGAUACCCGGGUAGUCCCAGCUGUAAACGAUGCAGGCUAGGUGUUAGGGCGGCCACGUGCCGCUCUAGUGCCGCAGGGAAGCUGUUAAGCCUGCCGCCUGGGGAGUACGGCCGCAAGGCUGAAACUUAAAGGAAUUGGCGGGGGAGCACCACAA